CAAUGAUUAAAGAGAUACUCCACAUAAAAAUGAAAAUUCUCUCGUCAUUUAGCCAUCCUAGAUGUAUAUGACUGACUUUCAAUCAAUGAACACGGAUGAUUUAGAAAAAUCCAUCUCUGUGAGUCAAUAUGAUAGAAGUGUGUGGGAUCACCAAAGUUAGCAUUUCAAAAAUUCAAAACCGCACAAAAUGAACUUGAUGGCAAUCCACGUGACCCCAGUUAUGGAAGCAAUGGUUUGUAGUUAAAAAAGUUAGUAAAUAUUAGUGUUUUUCUCAUAUACUUGUGUUGAUUCAACAACUGGGGUCGUAUGGAUUACUGCUGUGUUUGCUUUUUAAAGCAUCGGCUUUGUCAAAAAGUCUUAAAAGUUGUCAAAAAAGUCAUAUAGAUCCAGGACGGCAUUAGAAUGAAUAAAUGAUGAGAAAAAGUAAAGUCCUUUAAAGACUGUGGUGUUAGUAUAUUAAAGGUAAAGGGUGUCAUUUUUCAAAGAUUUUAUUUUUUUGGCAUUUUUGCCUUUAUUUUGAUUGGACAGAUCAGAGCUGAUGGGUAGUGGGAUUGGGAAAGGUCCUCGAGUCUGGAUUUGAAGUUGGGACACUGUAGUGCAACAGCGUUAUAUGAUGGUGUUCGGCUAUCAGCGCCAACAUAAUAUUUCCAUGUUAAUUUGUUGUCUAUCGAUUAACGACCACUCUAUAAAUCAACUAAAAUCGAUCACAUUCUUUAGCAUUUGCAUUUGGUGGUGAUUGUAAUGCAAAAAUGUAUGAUCUCAAGUGAUUGUCUCAUCUCUAUCAGUUUUCAGUCUUUACUUUCAUGUGACUAACUUAUUACGGCACCUUCAAAAUAUUUUAGCAUAAAGAAAAUACUGUAGCAAUGUUACUGUAAGUAUAUAGUAAUUUAAAAUUAUAAUUUAUGUAAAAAAUCCUGUCACCUUAUUACAUCUCAAAACAUAUUUAGAAAAAUAGUCUUUAUUUUUACACAAAAAAGUGCAUGAAUCAAAUGUCAUGGUUAUCUUUUAGCAUGUAGAUAUUGGUCAUAACUCUGACUUCAAAAUUUCAUAAAAAAAAUAUAAAAAAGAAACCAAAUAAAAACAAGUAGUUGAUUAAAAAGAAUAACAAGAAACCAAAUAAAAGAACUCAGAAUAAAUGUCUGAGCAAUGACAUUCAUCUCUUGUGAUCAAUAUUUCUCAGAAAUGGAAAC
rnacentral:lncRNA from 1 species